GGGCCCGUAGCUCAGGCGGUUAGAGCAGCUGACUCAUAAUCAGACGGUCGCGGGUUCAAUUCCUGCCGGGCCCACUA
rnacentral:tRNA from 1 species